AUGCAAGAUUUCUGCCUGGAGAGGCUAUUGGAGGAUAGGAUGUGUGUCUGUGGUGCCAGGGGAAGGAAGGGAAAGAAAGGAUGUGCCUGUUGGUGCUAUGCAGGUUUAUCCUACGCUGAACUAGCUCUACUCUGGUCUUGUGGAGCCCUUUAUGGUACAAUACAUGAGGUAUGCUCCUGGAGCACACUUUCCACUUCAGUUUCAUCUGGAAUGAAUCUGGCUCAAACUCUCCAAAACAGAUCCAUAAUGGGAAAGAAAGCACGUUUCAGAGCCAGGGAACUGUGGCCAGUUUUGGAGAGGCCAUGUCAACCAGUCCUUCCAUGACAGGCCAAACUGCAGUUGUACAAAUUUUUUGUCCCUGUGGAAGUGUUUGGUGUGAUUCUGCUGGAAUUACUGGGUUACCACCUCACACGGAAACCCGGUGCAGUCUUUGGCAACUGCUUUAGGUGUACUGAAAGGUAGUGGAUCUGUGCUGUCUCAGCUCAACAUUUACCAUGUUUAUCAUGAUGUAGUGCAAGAGUAAGAUUUACAUACUGGACAGUAGGCAGAUUUGUGAGCUGGGGAAUUUCAAAAGAACCUUUAUUCCUUACUCCAGUGUGAUACUGAGGUGAAAAAAUAAGAAGUUGAUCAAUGAGAUAACCCUGCUCUGCACUUACUAUCCUUUAUUAGGAGAUUUGCCAUUUCUGAAGCACUAAUAAUGAAGUUUCAGCUAUUUCAGUUAAUUUACGUUUCCAGUUCACAAAACUGACUAUCUCCUAUGUUGUGCUUCAAAAGUACCCUGAAGGCUGAAUGCAAAUUUCUGGGGAACUGUUUUGACCUCUUGACUGAAAAAAAGAAAAUGAGGGAAAGUGUAAACUUUUAUGAACAAAUCUUAUAUCACGAGGCGGGAGAAUUAUAGUGACUAAAUGAUGGAGAAGAACAGAAGAACAAUUUUGUGCACUGAUAUGACAUGACUGCAGUAAAAUUUUGCAGCAAACAGCAUUUAUUAUGCAUAGGACUGUACCUGAUUCCCCUGCAGCCAGAGCACUGUCAUCCUUGACCAUAAGAUACCUACUGCAUGGACAAAAAAUAUUGGGCAAAGUGAAGUAGAGAUCUAAAUUGCCUGGCUCGAGGUCAUGCUGCUGAUCAGUGGAUGUUGGAGUUAUUUAUAAGAAGCACAAAGAACUGCUCAUUAUGUUCCCACUAGCACAAAGAGCUCCAAAGGGGCUUGUAGCUUGCAAGUUUUGUUCUCUUCAUUUUAUUAAGCCAGGGGCUUGAACAUUUUGUCCUUGGGAUAUACAUUUACUUUUCAUUAUAUGGCGAGAACCAAUCAGGAAGAGACAUUUACAAACUUUAGAAAAUAAGUGCAAGAUUUUCUAACACUGGAGAUUUUAAUUUUUGUAUUUGACACCAAUUAAAAAGAAAAGGCAAAAUCUUUGUGGAAAAAAGAAAUCUUACCUCCAUGGUUUAAAUGAACUGUCCACAGUAUAUCAGGAAAAAGUGCUCUUCCCAAGUACUUUCAUGAAUGUCAAGGUGACAAUGUCUUUCACCCAAUUAAUCCCACAACUGCCAUUUGACUGUGCUCCUACUCAAAAUACCUUAGGCCAGCAGGCCAGAUUUCUUCUAGCAAUUAGCCUUUAACCCUUCCAGUCUUUGCUUUUUCAAUUGCCAGUGACUCUGUGUCAGAUAGGAGUUUUAUGCUUCUCUUAAAGCCUAUUUCACAAUGGCUCUGGCUUGACCUUUGAAGUACGUGCAUUUAUAAGGAAAUUGUUCGAGUGAAACGUUUCAACUGCAAUCUAAGAAAGUAAGUACUGGGACUCCCCUAGAAAGGUAACAUAAUGCUUGCCUGUGUCUCCAGAUGUAAUUUUCCCUCCCUGCCCCCUUUUUAUUUUGUUCUUUUCUUUAUGAAGUAUAGAAAACUAUAAGUCUUGUACCAACUGUUAUAAUCAUUAUCUAUAUAUCAGAAGCAAAUAGUGGUCAUUUUGCAAGUUCAGAGAUCACAUAAUGCUGUUCUUCAAGUUCAAUACCACCUGGUCACUACUGUUCUAACACUGUAAAUUAACUUGUGUAUAUGGAGCACAUUCUUCUGUAUUGAACAGAAUCAGAACAAUUCAGCUAUGUGGACUGGACACUCCCUCAAUAAUGAUUUAUUGCAGUUAUCAACAAACAGUAAUUCUACAGAGCAAGGAGGAUAAUUUUGGAGAAGUAAGAUCAAGGGACCAAUGUAUAUAAUAUUAAAAUGGACUACAUAACAAGCCUUCCCAGACAGAAGUUACCCAGGAAUCACCAGGUCACCUGAUCACAGGAAAAUUCAGGUUGGAUGAGCCCUCUGGAGGUCAUCUAGGCUAAUCUCCUGCUUAAAGCAGGGUCACCUACAAGGUCAGAUUUAAUUGCUCAGGGUUUUAUCCAGACUUGAAAGCCUCCAGAAGGAAACUGCCCGACCUUGCUGGGCAGUCUGCUCCCCUGUUUGACUGCCCAUAUUGUGAAAGAAUUUCUCUUAGAAACAGACUGAACUUCUCUUGUUUUUACUCAUCGCUGGUGUCUUUUGUGUUUCCACCAUAAACUACUGUGAAGAGUCUAGCUCUGUCUUAUCCUGUAAGCACUGGAAAUCUGCUAUUAGAUCCUCCUAAGACCUUCUUCUUCCCAUGCUGAACAAGCAUCUCUUCACAGGUCAAGCACCCCAGCUCAUGCGCUCCAGCUCAUGAUUCUUCCAAAAGGUCUCAGGUCCUGCUCAUGGUGGUGCCCAGCUGAAGAUCUCCUUUAUUAGGGGCCAUAAGUGUAAUUAUUUUUACCCAGACAAGCCAUACCCACAAGUAGAUAUCAAUUUCAUUAUGACAUGGAAUAGCUUCUGACCCUAAAAAAUCAGAAAUCAUCUCCAAAGGGGAGGCACAACAUAAGAAAACGUCUUGUAGAGGGCAGCUGUUGCAACCAUGUAUAUGUCCAUGUAGUCUUUAGGUUGCAGUCAACCAUUAGUCAUUAGUCAUUAAGAAAAUUGUUUGGCAAUUAGUUAAUUUGUCCUGAAUGGCAGGUAAUGCUUACUUUAACAAUAGGAUGAUAAUAAUAAUAGUAAAUAAAACCAGCUAUUGCUAACUACUUGUGUCA
rnacentral:lncRNA from 1 species